rnacentral:rRNA from 1 species
GGCGCGCAGGCGGUCUUGUCCGUCAGGUGUGAAAGCUCGGGGCUCAACCCCGGAAGUGCACUUGAAACAGCAAGACUUGAAUACGGGAGAGGAAAGCGGAAUUCCUGGUGUAGAGGUGAAAUUCGUAGAUAUCAGGAGGAACACCGAUGGCGAAGGCAGCUUUCUGGACCGAUAUUGACGCUGAGGCGCGAAGGCGUGGGUAGCGAACG